rnacentral:rRNA from 1 species
UGGGGAAUCUUGCACAAUGCGGGCAACCCUGAUGCGGCGACGCCGCGUGAGCGAUGAAGGUUUUCGAAUCGUAAAGCUCUGUCCUAUGGGAAGAUAAUGACGGUACCAUAGGAGGAAGCCCCGGCUAACUACGUGCCAGCAUCCGCGGUAAUACGUAGGUGGCGAGCGUUGUCCGGAAUUACUGGGCGUAAAGGGUUCGCAGGCGGCAUGGCAAGUCCGAUGUAAAAGGCGAAGGCUCAACCUUCGUAAGCAUCGGAAACUGUCAAGCUUGAGUGAAGGAGAGGCAAGUGGAAUUCCUAGUGUAGCGGUGAAAUGCGUAGAUAUUAGGAGGAAUACCGGUGGCGAAGGCGACUUGCUGGACUUCAACUGACGCUGAGGAACGAAAGCGUGGGUAGCAAACAGG